CCAACAGAUUCCAUGCAAUAUGACCCCAUGCACUGCAAUAUUUCUUGGGAGAAGCUUCACAGACAGCAUCCUGGCAGUUACUGCAGCAGUUGUUCAUCUCCAUGAAAAACAUCCAGGCCAGUUGUAGGACAGAAGACAUUAUUUAACAUCUCAGAGAAUGCAGCAAAUAUGGGCAGAAAAGAGGGAAGAGGUGGAAGAUAGAAAGAGAGGAGCUAGUGGAGCUUUCCAGAGCUUUCCCUUGCCUGAUUGCCGAUUUAUACAUGGCCUGCUUCUCCCUUUUGUUUUUACAAUGUGCUUUUAAAAAAGAAUGAAUAAAGGCAGCUCUGCACAUCUUUUCUUAUCUUCCUUCUAGAAACAAAUAUGUCCAAAAGCUUGGCAACAGUAGUCCAAGGAUAAAUCACCUUGUUUUACAGGACUUUGCAGAACCAGCUGCCUACUAAUGGUCAGUUUGAUAGAACCAUUAAUGGGAAAAUCCCAUGUACUACCAAGAAUUCAGGAAAACUUUUUCAUCAGAUAUGGUGCAGAGUGCAUUUUAUUGCAAAAUAUCUUUGUCCUUAAUGAAGCAGGGACAAUAUUGCAAACAACUGGUAUUCCAAUUGCUAAUAAAAAAUUGUCUUGGGGAUCAAAAUCAGAGAUAAAUAUGUAGGUAUUCAUAUUAACCAGCUUCUGGCAGCAUAACAGAGUUGCCACAAACAACAUCAAACUCAGUAUAUCCAGGGAACCUGUGUCAAGAAAAUAAUUCCAUUUUAAAAUAGCAGAUAUCACAUCUUCAUCACUGAAAUGUCAAAAUAUUUGAACUAAGAAAAUGUAAAUAUUAAUGGAUUAAACUAACCUGCCAAGUUGCAGUUGGAGAGCAUUCCAAGUAGGAAGAUGGUGAGUUUCACCAAAAAGUAAAGGCUUGAAUUAUGGACUUUUAAAAAUUUAUUUGUUCAAAACUGAAGUUUUGUGCCAUGUGUAAUCAAUUUCUGGUUGUCUUUCAUUGCGCUAAAGUACUAGGAAAAUUUCUGUCAGCAUUAAGAUUAACCUGAAGAAUUUAUACACAUGGAUAUUUAUUCUUAAAUAACUACUUUUGAUUAAUUGCUUUCAAUUAUCUUCCUGUGUAGGUGCUCUUAUAGGAAAUAUGUGUCUAAUUUUGGAUGUGGUAGCUAUUACACACACUUUACAUGUCUCACCACAGUAUAGAUUAACUUUCUGUGUAGACAAAAGUAUAUUUUCUAUUUUAUAACCCUUUAAAGGUAAACUUAAUGUCAAAAUCAUAAUCCUUGAAGGGCCUAGUAAUAUCCACCACAAGAGAUGGAGCUGGAAGAAACAGAAAA